UACGUAGGGAGCAAGCGUUGUCCGGAAUCAUUGGGCGUAAAGCGCGCGUAGGCGGCCCCGUAAGUCCGCUGUGAAAGUCAAAGGCUCAACCUUUGAAAGCCGGUGGAUACUGUGGGGCUAGAGUCCGGAAGAGGCGAGUGGAAUUCCUGGUGUAGCGGUGGAAUGCGCAGAUAUCAGGAGGAACACCGAUAGUGAAGGCAGCUCGCUGGGACGGUACUGACGCUAAGGCGCGAAAGCGUGGGGAGCGAACAGG
rnacentral:rRNA from 1 species